AAAAAAAAAAAAAACAGAGCCGGAAGGUUAGAAGCAGUGAACUCAGCUAUUUACCUCGGGACUGUGAGCGCGGCGUCGCGACGAGGUGGAGACGGCGAGGAAGAGGCGGCGGCGUCGCGGCGACGGUCGAGGCAGUAUCGCAGCGAGGGACGGACGGAGGCUUUGGUCUGGAUUUUGGAAGCAGAAGGGUUUUGCAAGUCGCAACUGAGAUAAAGCGUCGCUUUUCGUCGCUUCGUCGCCUCGCCCGAAAGCGAGCGCUUUGCCAUGGAGCUCGUCGCUCGCUUGGCUUUUGCGCGAGUGCUUUUCACAAGUUUCACUUCCAUUGAUAUGCAUUGUGAUCAUCAACCACUGCAAUUCACAGUCCACCAAAGAUCUAAGGUUUCUACAUAUCUUCUUCUCCCAUUCAAUCUUUCUAUUUGCUAAGUAACUACCAUGAUCACCUCCAAGAAGCUCAUUAAGCUGCCCAAAAGAGGACUAAAUGAGGAUGCAGAUAGCUGCAGUUAACAAUGGUCAUUUUGCUAUCUACACAGCUUAUCAGAAGCGGUUUGUUUUCCCUCUAUCUUAUCUCGAGAUCAUUAGGCAACUCUUAAAUGUAUGAAGAAGAAUUUUAUCGAGAUCAUUAGGCAAACUCUUAAAUGUCUGAAGAAGAAUUUUAUCGAGAUCAUUAGGCAACUCUUAAAUAUGUCUGAAAAAGAAUUUGGACUUCCAAGCGCAGGCCUAUUACACGACCAUGUGAUGCAGUCUUAUGGACUACAUCUUCUUAGCUGAGGUUUAUCCCAAGAACUUGAGAUCGAAUGCCCCAGUUACUUCACAUCGGUGUUCAUCAGCUCCACUACGGUACUACUACACCAUGAAGGGUGGAGAAAUCAGGAGUUGUUAGUUUGUUGAUAUAAUGUAAAUGAGGAUUUCAGCUGUAGCUCAAUACAUCAUGUGAAAUGUACAGAAAUACAAGAGUUGAUAUAUAAUAUAUUCAAUUUUGUUGUCACAUAA